rnacentral:lncRNA from 1 species
UUAAAACAAUUGAGGGACUAGAGGGAUUCCAUGAAAAAAAAUGAAUGCCCCUUGAGAAUCAAUGAUUGAGCAUACUUUGUUGAGGAAUCAAAACAAACCCUAGGUGAGGAGCCAUGGUUGAUGCUCUUAUUGGAAAAGCCCUAUCUUGCACAAUAAACUUAAAAGAUAUUUAUGCUAUUUUCUUUAGUGGUUAGAUGAGUAAUGAAC